GCCACAGUCUGAGUGACCACCUAUGAACCACCUACGAAUUGUGAGAAGGAAAUUGCAGGGCAGCUACGACAGUGCCUGGUGCCUGGGGAGUGCUUGACAGAUUCAGGUUGAAGAAACAAAGGCAGGAUGUCUGAGAUGCCCAGCGUGGGCUGUGGAUCCGGUCGUGGGAAGCAGAGUGAACUUCUAGGUUCUGAGCUGACUCCUUGGAAACCCUAGACUCCAGGGACACGCUUCUAGAACCUGCUCAGAUUGCUACUCAGU